AACUAUAACCUCCAUUGAAAGUGUG
rnacentral:piRNA from 1 species